GGAAAAGGUUGCCAGAAAACCAUGAAAAUCAUCCAAUCAGUCGCAUAAGGACAGAGUUCAACCAUUCACAGGUUUGGAAGUAGUAUUGGCUGGACUAGCCCAAAUACCACAUCAAUAAAGCAAAGACCCUUUUCGAAAACUAAAUAGAACCUUCAAAGAUACAGGUUUAGCAAAACAACUCCCUCACCAAGUAUAACAAAACUUAAGAUAUGCAGAACAGAGCAAAUAAAACACAAGCACCAUGGUUUCGCCGAGGAAAAAGACAGAAGUCAUGGAGUCUUAAAAACUAAAAAGAACAGAUCCAUCAACUAAUCGUCUCCUGCUCUAAGACAAGGGACACCCAUCAAAACCAUACAAAAAUAAUAAAGAAAACGAUCAAAGAGAAGCGCUCCCAACAAAGAGAAAAAUAUUCUACUCACUUGUUCUGAUUCUUCAAAUUUUCGCUUACUUUUUCUUCUUUUGAUCUUUUUUCCUGUUCGUUUCACCUGCACAUAGAAGAAUACUAAAAAAAAAUGACAUGCUAAAAAA
rnacentral:lncRNA from 1 species